UACGUAGGGGGCUAGCGUUGUCCGGAAUCAUUGGGCGUAAAGCGCGUGUAGGCGGUUCGGUAAGUCCGCUGUGAAAGUCGGGGGCUCAACCCUCGAAUGCCGGUGGAUACUGUCGGGCUAGAGUGCGCGAGAGGCGAGUGGAAUUCCUGGUGUAGCGGUGAAAUGCGCAGAUAUCAGGAGGAACACCAAUUGCGAAGGCAGCUCGCUGGAACGUAACUGACGCUGAGACGCGAAAGCGUGGGGAGCAAACAGG
rnacentral:rRNA from 1 species